CUCUCCUCGCGCGGCGCAACGCAAACAAAAGCGAACCCAAGACAAGAGAGAGAACCCCUCUCAAAACCCUAGAACACUAGGCACCGCCCGCCGCCACGCGCAAGACAGCAGAGAAGGAGGACGAAUCCAAGCCUCCGCCAUGCCGAAAUCCAAGCGCAAUCGCGCAGUUACCUUGUCAAAGACCAAGAAGAAGCCAGGUCUAGAGCGUAAGGGCAAGGUGGUCACGGAAAUCAAAGACGCCAUCGAGCGCCACAGCAGCGCCUAUGUCUUCACCUACAAUAACAUGAGGAAUCAGAAGCUCAAGGACUUAAGGGACCAACUGAAGUCCUCUAGCAGGAUAUUUCUUGCUGGAAAGAAGGUCAUGCAGAUCGCAUUGGGGCGUUCACCUGCUGAUGAAGCAAAAACAGGCCUGCAUAAACUUUCCAAGUACCUUCAAGGUAAUACUGGAUUGUUAUUCACGAAUCUCCCAAGGGAUGAUGUUGAGAGAUUAUUUCGAGAAUUCGAAGGGCUUGAUUUUGCAAGGACAGGAAGUAUUGCCACCGAAACGGUGGAGCUAAAGGAAGGUCCUCUGGAAAAGUUUUCCCAUGAAAUGGAACCCUUUAUACGCAAACAAGGACUGCCAGUUCGUCUAAACAAAGGUGUUGUUGAAUUAAUUGCUGACCAUGUAGUUUGUGAAGAAGGGAAGCCUUUCACCAGAAGCAGCACACACUCUGAUUACAAUCAGGACAGGGCAUGGUGUUGAUUUGGGAGUUUUCGGCGGUUUUCUGUAAUUGAUAUGCGCGGUUCUCUGCUUUGAUGAACUGUGAGUUUGGGUUAAGGUGUACUCCCUUUGAUCGGCAUCUGAUCAUACCCUUUGAGGCGGGCUCUUUAUUGAGUCAUGAUUUAUUAUCGGAUUAUUGUGCUUCAGGUACAGGGAACACCAUUUGUAAAAUUACAGGUUGCAACAUGAAAGUUCUGGUUACAUCUCAAUGGCAGUUAAUCGUAUCAUAUUCUUGCAAAUAGAGGUACCAUUCCUCCUGUUACAGAAUCAAAUAAGGCAUCUGAAUGUAAAUUCGAGAACCAAAUUUUUUACUAUUAAGCACAAGAAAGGCUUGACAUCGUCUAGCUCAGGUCCCAUGUUGGUUCAUGUCUUAAAUAGGGCAUCACCAGGCCUCUUGUGUGGUUAGGGACCUGUUGUGAGGUUAGAGUAGGCAGAAAAUUCAGACUAGUAGCUGGACAUACACAUGGUUAGUGACUCUGGUUGGAAUAUAGGCCACUGGCGAGAGUAGCAGGUGAUCCAUGGAACGGCACUUGAAUGCACAGCUAAUUCUCACUGUACAUGCAUAUAUCGAUUCAUCACCAAAUCCCACAUAUCCAUAAAUUCCGCAAUCGCAGGCACAGAAGGUGCACCCCUGAUCAUGUGUACUGUCAACAGGUCACCGAAAUCCAUGGAACGGCACUUGAAUGCCAGCUAAUUCUCACUGUACAUGCAUAUAUCAAUUCAUCACCAAAUCCCACAUAUCCAUAAAUUCCGCAAUCGCAGGCACAGAAGGUGCACCCCUGAUCAUGUGUACUGUCAACAGGUCACCGAAACCUAUGGCCUAGGGGAGUAGCUAUCCUAUGUAAUCAGUGUCUGAGUUUGGCAGAAAAUUCAGACUAGUAGCUGGACAUAGACCUGGUUAGUGACCCUGGUUGGAACAUAGGCCACUGGGUGAGAGUAGCAUGUGAUCCAUGGAACUGCACUUGAAUGCACAGCUAUCAGUUCUCACUGCACUUACAUAUAUCAAUUCAUCACCUCGACGAACUAUUGCAUCAUCCAUCAGGAGAUGGAUCGUGUCCUGGUUGAGUUGUUCCUAAGAUGUAGUUAGCAUUCAGCAGCUGAUCUGCAUGGGCAUGAAGGACCUGGAGGGUGGCGUCUGGUACAACCUGGGGGCCUUGAUUUCCGGGUGGUCCUGGUUGUUGGGGUCCUUGGUUAGGCGGCUUCUUCGGAUCCUGCUUGCCAGCUUCUACCUCCUCAUCUGCUGCUGCUGCUGCUGCUGCCUGCUCAUUGUACCAGGAAGAUGCUAUUGGUCAGAGAAGUCCCUGUGGAUGCAAGAUGGAUGAGACACCUCCGGCGGACACUCUCUGGCAAUGCAAUCACCCAGUUCACUGAGAUUUGGACUCUGCUGGAACAUAUUCAGCCGAACGCUGACGUCCCCGACUUAGUGACUUGGAAGUGGACGGAUGGAGGCCUGGCUGGCAAGGUGCAACCUGCUGCAGUUUUCAGGCCUGGCCGGGAAAUCGGAUUCCAGAUUUUCUCAUGGCUCGCCGUCCGUGGCAAGUGUUUGACAGUAGAUAACCCGCUGAAGCAAGGCUGUACUUGCAAUCCCAUAUGCUCGCUUUACAGAAUUAUGCCCGAGGCUUCAGUUCACCUCCUUGCGGAGUUCUCCUUCAUCAGAGCUCUUUGGCAGUUGAUCCUGGAUCACUGCCACCCCCCAAUGCCAGCCAUGCGAGUAAACAGUGACGUCAAACUUCUGGAUCAACGGUCUGUCUCAGCUUACUCCGUUCCAGAGCCUCAUUGGCGGGCUUUGAGUUCUCUCCUUCAGUUAGUUUGGUGGUCAUCAUGGAAGGGGCGUAACCAGAGGGUGUUCAGAAGCAAUGCUAUUUCAUUCUAGGUGUUCGCCCAAAAUCAUAGUGGAGCUAUCAAUGUGGCAUCAGGCCGGACGCAACAGAACCAGGAAGCUGAUAGACACAUCCCGAGAGCGGGACUGAAUUUAGUUAGCCAGGCGCGAUUUUUCCUGAUUGCUUGCAUGGAGUAGCUGUUUCUGUCACUUUUUUUUUUGACAACUAGUAGCUGUUUGUAUCUUCUUUGAGCCAUGUACGAGACGAAAAGGCCCUUGUAAAACUCUCUUUUUCCUCUAAUAAUGAUCAAUGAAAAGCUGCCCUGGGUUCGUCAGGCACCCAGCUUUGGUUA